rnacentral:sRNA from 1 species
ACUCAACACUAACAAAUUAAAAUGGGUGAAUCUUCGGUACUAUGGCAUGCCCUCACGGGAUCCCAGAACAUCGAGUUAGCCUAAAACUUGUCUUUCACGAGUUU